UGAAGCGAGCCACCUGGGAAGUACGGCCGCAAGGCUGAUACUUAAAGGAAUUGGCGGGGGAGCACCACAACGGGUGGAGCUUGCGGUUUAAUUGGAUUCAACGCCGGAAAUCUUACCGGGACCGACAGCAAUAUGAAGGCCAGGCUGAAGACUUUGCCGGAUUAGCUGAGAGGUGGUGCAUGGCCGUCGUCAGUUCGUACUGUGAAGCAUCCUGUUAAGUCAGGCAACGAGCGAGACCCACGCCCACAGUUGCCAGCGUACUCUCUGGAGUGACGGGUACACUGUGGGGACCGCCGCUGCUAAAGCGGAGGAAGGAAUGGGCAACGGUAGGUCAGUAUGCCCCGAAUAUCCCGGGCUACACGCGAGCUACAAUGGUUGGUACAAUGGGUAUCUACCCCGAAAGGGGACGGGAAUCUCCUAAAACCAAUCUUAGUUCGGAUUGAGGGCUGCAACUCGCCCUCAUGAAGCUGGAAUCCGUAGUAAUCGCGUUUCAACAGAACGCGGUGAAUACGUCCCUGCUCCUUGCACACACCGCCCGUCAAACCACCCGAGUAGGGUCUGAAUGAGAGCGCUUUCUUUGGAGGCGUUCGAAUUUGGGCUUUGCAAGGGGGGUUAAGUCGUAACAAGGUAACCAAGGGCGAAU
rnacentral:rRNA from 1 species